CCAAGUUUCCUAAACAGCAUUCUGACUAUGUCUCUGUCGUGCUUGUACCUGGCUGCAUCUGAUUUACGGAUCGCUCGGCUUGCAUUACUAGAAAGUUAGCAGUUUGUGAAUGAGAUCUUACUGUCGGGGGAUUAUGCCCCCUUGCAGGGAUCGCUAUGAUACAGAAAUGAGCCUGAUGGGCUGAGUCGAAACACUCUUUCGGCUCGGACUUGUCUUCCUCAUCGCCGACUCUGACUGGAGCGGCCAUGUAGUUGCGUGCAGGUGGUAGCGUUCUGUACGUGACUUAUUGGUUGCACCCAUUGAAUUGCAAAUAUUCAGUCAGAGACCCGGUACGCUACAAACCUUCUCCCUUCGGGUGAGUCCUCUCGUACCUUUCAAAUAUUUUAAACAACCUUGGCUAAGUCCAGUGCGGCGUUGGUAGCAAUACUGACAAUGUACUGUUCUGGCCCGGUGCGCGUUGCCUUCGGGCGACAAACGCCAACCGUUA
rnacentral:misc_RNA from 1 species